UACGUAGGGGGCAAGCGUUGUCCGGAAUCAUUGGGCGUAAAGAGCGUGUAGGCGGCCAGAAAAGUCCGCUGUGAAAACUCGAGGCUCAACUUCGAGCUGUCGGUGGAAACUUUCUGGCUAGAGUCCGGAAGAGGAGAAUGGAAUUCCUGGUGUAGCGGUGAAAUGCGCAGAUAUCAGGAGGAACACCGGUGGCGAAGGCGGAUCUCUGGGCCGAUACUGACGCUGAGGAGCGAAAGCGUGGGGGGCGAACAGG
rnacentral:rRNA from 1 species